rnacentral:tRNA from 1 species
AUUUACUUAAUAUAAAAAGUAUAUUAAGCUUCCAACUUAGAAGUUUCAAGUGAAAGUAAAUA